AUACGGGGGGAGCGAGCGUUGUUCGGAUUUACUGGGCGUAAAGGGCGCGUAGGUGGGUCGUCAAGUCGAAUGUGAAAACCAGCGGCUUAACUGCUGGCCUGCAUUUGAUACUGUUGAUCUUGAGUACGGGAGAGGAAAGCGGAAUUCCUGGUGUAGCGGUGAAAUGCGUAGAUAUCAGGAGGAACACCGGUGGCGAAGGCGGCUUUCUGGCCCGAUACUGACACUGAGGCGCGAAGGCCGGGGGAGCAAACAGGAUUAGAUACCCUGGUAGUCCCGGCGGUAAACGAUGGGCACUAGGUGUUGGAGGUAUCGACCCCUCCAGUGCCGCAGCUAACGCAUUAAGUGCCCCGCCUGGGGAGUACGGCCGCAAGGCUGAA
rnacentral:rRNA from 1 species